UGUACAUGUGUACAGGCCAUUAAAAGCGACGACCGUCCUUGGCAUACCGACGGUUUCUUUGCUCGAUAGGGUUUCUACCUCCCGGCGUUCCUUUGAUCGUUCAGCGUUCUCGUUCUUUUCCCCAUCGGCGGUUUUUCUUAUCGUGAGGGUUUUUUUCUUCGCGUCGUUUCGUUGAUCAUUCAGCGUUCUCGUUCGCCUUGGAUUGCAGGAUAUGUACUCCCGGAAGGCGAAGGAGGAUGGAUGGCGCCCCUGGAGUGCUUUCAAGGGCCCUUAGACGGACGAGGAGUUAAGGUUUUACCGAUUAGACUAAUGUAACAUCGGAUUCAACCAUCAACGGUGCCGUAUGGUUUGCUCAAGGGUUCGACGUUACGGUUCUUGAUUGGAGCUGCAACCUAACGCAGUUUUCAGCAAGAGUUCGAAGUUUUGGUGCCAAAGUGGGGUGGGGUUGGAGGGGCCAAACGAGGAUUACAUCCCAUUUUUGGCAUGUGGGGGACUUGGGCCCCCAAGUUCUUCAGAGGGUCGGUGUUACAAGCCUUUGGUUCCUGUACAGCCUUUGACAGCGCCGCCUUCACAUUGACAAGCUCUUUCUUAAUUCUGCAGUAAAAUGUUGCAAGCGUAGAGUUUUGGGCACAGCCUAAAUGCAUGGUGCCAAUGGGAAUCGAACGAGUAAGUUCUCAGGCUUCAUUUUUUUUCUGUCAUCAAUUUAUUGAUUGUUUCCGGUUUCCACAUCGAAAGAUAAAGGAGGAAAAAAAAAAGUGUUAUUUUCUGCAGUGUUAGUAAUCGAUUCCUGGGAGAUUGAGAACUCAGGAGUCGUGGAAGAACAAAAUGGUAGAACUGCUGUUUAUAGAGUGAGAAGGCGGGUUGGGGGUAUACUUUUGUGGUAUAAAAGAGCAAACAGAAAAUUGCUGGUUCAGCUGUAAAUCGUGGGGUUUGCAUGGCGAGUCUAGCACGACCUCCUCGACGAGGAGUUGAGGAACUUGAUGCAGUCUUCGAUGGCCUCCGACAGGUGAGUCUCUUCAGGAGCAGCGAACCUCUGUGGAGUCAUGCUGGAAGAAACCUUGGACGGUGGCUGCCGCCGGCUUCCGGAGAUGAAGUCUAAGGCCCUCGACGUUUUGCGGAAGAAUCGUAUAGCCGAGAGGCGUGCGCUGUUGAGUAGCCGAGAUGAGAAGCCCCUGCGUCCGCGAUCCUCCUCCUGAUCCCCGAAAUGGAUGUCGGACGUUCGAGAGACCGUCGGCUUCGCAUGGAUAUUGCUGUCGAGGCUGAAGCCGACGCUCCUCUCGCUCUUGUUCAACAUCUGAUCUGGCGUCCAAGAACGGACUUGCCGUAGGAGGGCAGGCGGCGAGACAUUUAUGGCGAGGCUUCCGCACUGUGCCAAGAGAACACCAAAGGGAAAGGGAAAAAAGGGAGCGUUGAAGAGACUACAGAGAAGGAAGUGGGUUGGACUGUCAGUGAGCAGACGAUGCCUGCCUGCCUGCUCGCUUGAUGGAAGAGACUGGCAGCAGUGGUGGACUAAAAGUGGGCGUCGUUGUGGAACACUGACUGGGCUGGUAUAUACUUGGAGUCAUGCUUUGGUCGAUGGCACGAGAAUCUUAUCAGCCUUGAAGCAAGCGAAAGCCCAAAGCCCCCAGAGGAGAAGGGGACGGUCAGAGAGGAAAGGGUCGUGAUACUUUCACGAGACGAUCUCGUUUCUUUUGAGGUGCGCACCCGCCCCAUUCCCCUCCCCCUCUUCUUUCUGAAAUGGCGUGCAUCGAUUUCAAAGCUUCCAUCGAGCGAGAGCGCUUUGCUUUGGGUCCAUGGGCAAGACGAUCAUUUUGCCGGGGCGUACUGCAUAAAGCCUUGUGAGUUUCUUACUACAUGCAGGUUAACGUCCGGUAUGAUGAAUCGGAUCCAUCUCGCGUUCGUACAUCAUCAGUGUCUCGAGCAUGAUGGGGGUACGUACCUGUUACGAAACACAGAUGUGCCUGUGUAUGAGAGUCAUGUUAAGCAGAUCAAAUCCCAACGGGUUAGGCCCAUGUGGUCGAACAUCUGAUCAUAGGGGAGGUUAUCGGUCGGAUUUCACUACUUUUUUUCUCUUUGGUUCAGUGUCGAGUGUCGAUGUUGGACUGGGUGUUUGACCAUGUGGGUACGAGGAGCAGGCAUAAAGAAAACGGAUGGGUUACAUCAGGUAUCUGAAAAAGGGCGAGGAAAAGAAAACUCAUUAAUAUGACUAGUGAUAAAAACAAAAAAAACAAAAAUACUAGUAUAUGACUAGGGAGUUUAUAAAAUUGUUUCGUGUUUGGUAUUAAUAUGUGACUAGGGAGAUCAUCAACAUCUAUCUAUAUAGUUGACGCCAACUGAACUGACACAAGGUUAUUUAUUAUUAUCAUUGGUCUUCUACUAGGAUGAUUUGGGGAGCUGAAGUACAUGGUUGUUCUACGAAUUGUAUUCCUCCUUUUAUAAGUUUGAUUCAUGUAUUCCUUCAUUCA